rnacentral:rRNA from 1 species
CAGCUCGUGUCGUGAGAUGUUGGGUUAAGUCCCGCAACGAGCGCAACCCUUGUCAUUAGUUGCCACGCAAGAGCACUCUAAUGAGACUGCCGGUGACAAACCGGAGGAAGGUGGGGAUGACGUCAAAUCAUCAUGCCCCUUAUGACCUGGGCUACACACGUGCUACAAUGGUUGGUACAACGAGUCGCAAGCCGGUGACGGCAAGCUAAUCUCUUAAAGCCAAUCUCAGUUCGGAUUGUAGGCUGCAACUCGCCUACAUGAAGUCGGAAUCGCUAGUAAUCGCGGAUCAGCACGCCGCGGUGAAUACGUUCCCGGGCCUUGUACACACCGCCCGUCACACCACGAGAGUUUGUAACACCCGAAGUCGGUGAGGUAACCUUUUAGGAGCCAGCCGCCUAAGGUGGGAUAGAUGAUUGGGGUGAAGUCGUAACAAGGUAGCCGUAUCGGAAGGUGCGGCUGGAUCACCUCCUUUCUAAGGA